AUGGCGGCGGCGGCGGUGGAGUCGGUCCAGUGCUUUGGUCGGAAGAAGACGGCGGUGGCGGUAGCGCACUGCAAGCGCGGUCGCGGCCUCAUCAAGGUGAACGGCGUCCCCAUCGAGCUGGUGAAGCCGGAGAUCCUCCGCCUCAAGGUCUUCGAGCCCAUCCUCCUCCUCGGCCGGCAGCGAUUCAUGGGCGUCGACCUCCGCAUCUAAGGCCGUUGUUGCCUUCCACCAGAAGUACGUCGACGAGCAGUCCAAGAAGGAGAUCAAGGACAUCCUCGUCCGCUACGAUCGCACCCUCCUGGUUGCCGACCCACGGCGUUGCGAGCCCAAGAAGUUCGGAGGCCGUGGCGCCCGUGCCCGCUUCCAGAAGUCGUACCGUUAAUAUCUGCCGUGGAAUGGGUUCGCAUUCAAUCACCAUCGAGUUUGGCUCUUUAUCUUUUGGUCCAAUGUUUCUGAGGCUUGUUUGUUCUUUUCUUAAGAGAUGGAUGUUCGAUUAUACAACUUUUGCUAUGAUUCUGCUCUUUGUUUCUUAUUAUUUUGAUAUUGUGAACUAGAUGUUGCUUUA